UACGAAGGGGGCUAGCGUUGCUCGGAAUCACUGGGCGUAAAGCGCACGUAGGCGGCUUUCUAAGUCAGGGGUGAAAUCCUGGAGCUCAACUCCAGAACUGCCUUUGAUACUGGAGAGCUCGAGUCCGGAAGAGGUGAGUGGAACUGCGAGUGUAGAGGUGAAAUUCGUAGAUAUUCGCAAGAACACCAGUGGCGAAGGCGGCUCACUGGUCCGGUACUGACGCUGAGGUGCGAAAGCCAGGGGAGCAAACGGG
rnacentral:rRNA from 1 species